CUGAAUGUUCAGAAAAAAAUGAAGCGCUUGUCAAGUUCAUUGUGGAACAAAAGGGUGCAGAAGAUACACUGCAGGCCGUCGUGUCUGGUGAGAAGCAGCCCCACUUUGAAUUUACACAGAAGUGGGUUCCAGUAUUGUUUGAUGACCAAUAGCUGGACAGGAUAGUGAAGUACCUGACAUGCUUCCUUCAUAACUGUGAAAAAAUCUCAGAUGAAGUCUCCACCAUGCUGUCCUAUGACAAGCUUAAAUACAUCCUUGUUGUGAUGUUGCCAGAGGUGACAGUAAAGGCCUUGGAAGAAAUAAGGAACAUGACAACAAAAGACGUAGUGGCAGAGGUUGAUCAUGGACCACUGGAUGAGAGGUUAGUGAAACAUUUAAAUGUCCUUUAAAAAAUAGCCCAAAAUCUCUGUCAAAAAAUAUGAUUUCUUUUUCUAGUGAAAUGGAGGCCAUGGAGAUGGCAAUAAGGGAUGACAUGGAGAGGUGUGGGCUUGUGUAAAAACGAUCCAAUAAAGGUUUCUU